ensembl:lncRNA
GUCAUCAAGGAAGAUAUUGAAGAGGACAGGCCCCAGUACCGACCCCUGAGGAACACCACUCAUGAUCAGUCGCCAGCUGGAUUUAACUCCAUUCACCACCACUCUGUGGGCUCAGCCCUCCAGCCAGUGCUUUACUCAGCAAAGAGUGUAUCUGACCAAGCCAUGAGAUGCCAGCUUCUCCAGGAGAAUACUGUGGGAGACAGUGUCAAAGGCUUUGCUGAAGCCUCGGUAGACUGUAUUGACAUGCAUAAUAUAAUCACAGAAUCACCAAGGUUGGAAAAGACCUCCAAGAUCAUCUGUUCCAACCAUCCCUCUACCACCAGUAUUUCCUGACUAAACCAUACAGAUGGACUAUGCCAGAGUUGGUUCUCAGACUUUCUAGACAACUGAAAACUAUGUUUUUCUUUGUUUUAUGUUUUUCUGUGGGAGUUGACACAUUUUAGGUAAAAUACUUGAAACAGAGAGAAAAUGAGCAGUGAUUAAUGCACUUUCACCAAGAACGUAUUCUUGUUAUGGUCUUGUGGAGUACUGGAGAUUUACAGAGCACAAUGUGUAACCUCUAGGCCAAAUGCUCGUAGUUGUAAGCUUUAUGCAUUUCUGAGCCAUAGUUCAGCCUGUUGUUGGAUGUGUUAAUCUUUGAUUAUGGGACUGCUUAUUCAUUUGCUGAAAAGAUGUGACUUAUGUAGUUGAGAGAGACUGUCUUCAGUGGAAGCCUUGCCUCAGUUAUUGUAAGAAGAGGCAAGAUACACCCAUAAAACUGCUGAAUUCUGCUGUGGAGGAAUUAAUGCAAUCCAUGUGUCUGCCACAAUGUUUUUUUGUGAGAUGAUAGUGAUGGACAAGUCACUUCAAGCAGAAUUUGGUCAGGAGACUGUUUAGCACAUGGGAAGUCAGUGGGAGUUGUUCUUAAAUAUCUUAAGUGUAAUGAAAAUGCCAAGCACUAUGAAGUAACAGGUCCAAGCUAUCACAAGCUUGGCAGCCAGAACUGGAGUUAUUAACCAGUAUGUUUUCUGGUCAGCUGCUUCACAAAUAACCAUUGUCUUAAAGUUAACAGAUUAUCAUUUUUUCCUUGAAAAGUGAAUGCCCCUUUUGAGGGUAGGACAGAGUAUAUUCUAGUGAGUGGUUCAUGAGUUGACAGAUGCUUAUUGUAAUAAGUGACAUCCCAAUUUCCAGUCAGCUUUUUGGAGACUGCAGAUGGAUUUUAGCUCCUGGUCUCCAACCAGGAGCUCACAGUUGGUGCAGAGCUGGUGAGGUGACCGCCAGGAACCAAGUGAAGCCGGCAGAGAGUGAGAGAAGAAAGAUAACGCUGGCUUGGUUGGAUGGGGCUGGAGGACCAGGGAAGGUACCAAUCACAGCUGAGUGAGGCCUUGGAGCCUGAAGAAGGAGGUCUAAAGAUUAAAGGGGAACAGGAGAGAAGGAAAAUUCAAGAUUCAUAUCCCUUACCAUUUCUUCUUCUUCUUCUUUUUGAAUUUUCAUUUGAAAUUAAGAACUAAAAUAAGGAACAAUGCUCAGAAAGUGAAUGCUUCUGGAGACAUUUCUUGUGUGUCUGUGCCCUUUUAUAGGUACAACAACGUAUGGUGCUUUUCACCCUAAAUCUCCUGACUUCUGGGACACAAGCUCGAGAUUGAUGCCAUGAGGUCUAUAUUAACCAUCACAUAAGUGGAAGUCUCUGGAAGAGACUCCAGAGCUGGUAGUUUGGGGCGUUCAUCUGAAACACUGGGAAUUACCAGUUGUGGUGUGAACUAGGGAAAAACAGGCUACAAAGUGUUGGUCAUUGGCAGACCUUUUAAACAUCAGGUCACUUCUCUGAGAAUUUCCUCAGGAAAUGUUCAGAAUAUUCUUGUGUUUCUUCUGAACCAUGUCAGUAAGACAUCUGAAAUACUAACAAGUGCCACAAGGUGAGAAAAUCAUUCUUCCUGACCUGGAUCCAUUCAGUGCAGUUUGGGGUACAGGAUCUUUCCAUUACAACCAGCAUCACUUUGAAGUCAUAUCUGAUACAGAACUUCUGAAUAGUUGCUGGUAUUUGACUGUGUUUGCAGAAAUUGUUUAGUACACGGUGACUGUGUUCUGCUUCAGUGUUUUUUUGUCUAUUUUUAUGUGAGCUUCUGCUCUGUUUCUGAUAGCGUUUGUAUAGAUUCUAUCAAGGAAAACAAAUGUCAUGGGGAAGUUUUAGGUAAUUUUUUUGCUGUCGGGGUGUUUUUUGUUUUGUUUUCUUUUUUUUUUUUUCUUCUGUAAUGCAGAUGUUCCUAUUUUAAACCUGGUAAAGGCAUUUCCAUCUGAGACGGUGAUACUCUGCUUUGUACACAGAGCAGAGAGAACAGAAACACACCUUUCAAAUUGGCUCAGGGAGCAAUGUGCAGUAUACCAAUUGCUCUCUUUUCCACUGUUGUGGACAUUCCUCUGCAGGAUAAGCAGGCUGCCCAUGUGGUUGCACAGGAGUGGCUGUGCAAAUGACAUGAAACAGGCUGUAGAUACUCCUUUGGUGGAGACCCAGUAAUCUUGAUGUUUUACACACGUGGGGCCUGCUGAAGAGAUGGUAAAACCCAGGAAGACUUUCCCCAUCAGCCUCACAGCUUUGAAUUCAGUUUCAGGUGCAGUUGAGGAUGUAUAUGAAGUAUACAGCUGGGAUUUGGCUGGGAGAACAGUUGCCUGUGAGAGUGGAGAGGGAAUUUUUUUCACUGCUCUGGGGUGGUGAGUGAAUUUUAUCUAACACCUUCCACUUGCCUGUAGCCAGCCUGCUCACGUUCAUAGAGCCAUAGAAUGUUCUAUACUGAUUCUGCCCCCAGACUGUAAAGAACAAGAUAAUAACUUUAUUUUAUGUACUGGAGAGCUAAAUUGUUUUCAAAGUCUUAGUUUAGCAGGCAAAGAUGAAUUUAUUUGCCAAAGACAUUCAGAAGCAGCUUGGGAAACUCUGCCAGAGCCCAGCUUUAACCACUAACUGGUGGCUGUUGUACUUAAUAGCUGUCAGGCAUGCUUGCAGUGUGAGGGAGACUGGCACAAAAUCCAGGAUGUAGGGGAUUUUCCUCCAAACAACAGCAAGUGCAAUCAAUUCACAAAUCGUAUAGUUGAAUAAGAAGAAAACCUGCAUCUGCAGCCACUUGCAUGUUGCAUCCCUUACUGGCUCUGCUCCCGUACCUGGGACGAGAAACAACCUUGCUCUUGUUUCACACUCUUUAUCCGUUCUGUCCAGCUCUAUUAACUUAGCGCACUGCUGAACAUUACCUUUGCUCUGCUUGCACUGCUGGCCUUUGCCAUCCUUUUCCCACCUAGAUAUCUUCGUGCUUUCCUGCAUCCUAACCUCCAUGUGUGGAACAAAGUCUGGAAAAUUCUCUCCAUCUGCUCUUCUUCAGAUCAUUCUGUCAGAUGCACUUCGACCCUGAUGCCUGUGGGGCACUGCUGAUAAUGGCCAGAGUGCAAGUUACAUUGUUUUCUAGCCAGCCAAUGUGAAAACAUGUUCGUGUUAUUUCUACUGUGGUUUUCAUAUCAACCCCUUUCCUGCCAGGGAGGACAAAGCCAUAAUGCCUUUUUAGUAAUGGCCAACUGUCUUUGGAAGCUGACACAGAUAAGAGCGGCUCUCAGCCCACAAGUUGUUACCUUCCUUCUCCUCGAGUCACAGCUCCACCAGUUUGCUUUUAGCCAUCGUAUUCAUUUUGUUCUCCUUGACUUCUGCCCAUCUGUGAAUGCAGCUCUCUGGCCUCACCAAGGGACUAUGUCAGCAUCCACCCUUUCAGAAUAUGUUAACAGGUCUUGGCUCCAACCAGCAAAGGUCAUUUUUUUGGGGGGUGGCUUUCUUGCAUACGCAGCCACAGCCCUUUACAGAGUGACAAAAAGACUUCCUUCCCAUUUGCUAUUACUCACCUAACUGUGUUUGGAAGGGGCGGGCAUCCUAGCUAAUCAGAGCUUCAGACAGGCAAUUCCUCAAAUUGUUUUAGGGUUUUUAAUUAAAACUGUAGGCUUCAGCACCACAUGGCAGAGAGCCAGAAGCAGUCAUCUGACAAUAGCCUUCACCAUCUACCAACAAUAAGGGAAUUCCUAAGUGUACGCUCGGGAGGCUCCUGAAAUGCUGUGAACGGCUGAGAUUGGUGUUUGCAAAGCACCCUGCAACAUUUGGCCUUGCAGGUCUGCCGAUUUUUACAUGAUAUAAACAAAACCCUAUAAUCUCCACCCAGCACAGAGAUACUGACUUGUGUUUAUACUGUCCAGAUCACAGAUGCUGGGCAUGAAUGCAUGAGCAGUCCUUUUGUAUGGUGUUUGACACUUUCUGUGGCUGUCUGCGCUGUUUUUUAAUAUACAGAAUCCCCGGUUCUCCACUGCCUUGCACCCUGUCUAUUCAUUCUCACCCCUGUGAAGUGAGGGUAAAACACUAUCAAAACAAAAUGGUACCACUUUGCAUGUUUUCCACUCAGUUUGUACAGGUGUAAAUGACUACAGAAAGAACAGGGCAGAGCAGAACCUGACCCGCAGUCUGUCUCUCCAUGCGUCAGGGGUCCUGAAGUGGGGUAUGACAGAACAAACACAAGCUGUUACCUUGCCAGUUUUGCUUUUUUGUUUGCUUUUUGGUGUUGUUGUUGUUUAAAAUCAGGCAGCUUGCAGGGAUGACAGAUGCAAAAGUCGGGCAGUACUUGGUUCCUGUAGUCCUCACGUGACGUCUUCUCAUCGAGUAACGAAAGUGUUACCCGUGGCAGAGAAAUCCUGUCCGGUUACAGCUGUCCAAAUCCUUCAGCUCACACCAUUACCUGCUGUAAGUGCUGCCUUGGGGCUGACCGCCUGCUCAUAAAGGAGCGGCGUACUGCCUUAGUGGUUCCAGCAGGUAGGAAGGAGAUGAAUCUUUGAGAAGGGCCUUGGCUCUGCAGUGCCUUGUGUAAUCGGUGGGUGAGCACUGCACUGUGCCCCAAUUCUGAUAAAACAUGAAGAUUUUGUAUAGUGCUGUUUUCAAAUGUUGUCUCUGGAAAGCAGGAUAAGAAAGCCAGCAGACUCGGUGGCUGCAAAAUAGAAGGCAAUGUAGAUAUAAUGUACUUUGUUAUUAACGCAAGGAAAAUGAUGUUGAAUUGCACCAUAAAUAUCCUUCCAAGAAAAAAAUAUAUCAAAGCUUUGUGUAGAUAAAUGCUGGCAGGAUCUGAAUUGAACAAAUAUUACAUAGUUCAGAGGCUGUUGUACAAUGUGGGAAGAAUGGGCAGAAGUUACGGUCCAGAACAGUAUUUUUUCUCAUCUACAAUUACAAUCUCAACCUUACCACUGCAUUAACAUAUGCACCCAUUUUUAGAAAUGAUGUGUAUUUUCGUGACUCAUUUGAGUGCUCUGUAACUAUUUGUAUGCAAAUGUGUCGCAUUAAACAUUCUCA